rnacentral:misc_RNA from 1 species
AAGUCGUAACAAGGUUUCCGUAGGUGAACCUGCGGAAGGAUCAUUGGAGGAAGUUGGGAGGAGAGUGUGUUGGAAUGUGAUGUUGAUAUGAGUGACAAAUCAUUUUAUACGAUAUAACUAGCCACCUGGGAUCUCUGGGCUCUU